CUGGGUGUUUCUCUGGAGGGUGCUUCUGUGUAUUUGGGUGCAGCUGAGAAACAGGGAAGUGGAGAAGCUGCUCGUGGAUGGGGGGUAGAAGUCACUCAUCGGUCAGCUCGGGUCUCGGGGCUGCUGCUGCUGCAGGCUGUUGGCAGCGCUGAGGAUGACGUCUCCGGCCCAUGGCUUUCCAGAUGGCAGGAAACAAGAACACCUCAGGUGGACAAGAGCAAACUAGGUAGGUCUGUGCUCAUGCUGUUGGACACUGGCAGCAGGGCCGAUCCCUCUGCAUUCACAGCCCUCCCACUCACUGCCUUUGGCCAGCCUACCCUCAUUGCCGUGUCCCGCUUGCCCCCGCUUGAUGAAAACAGCUUUCAGGAUCUGCCUCGAAGUGAGUGAGACCACUUUGUUAACAACGUCACCGCCUUUAGAUUUGCAAUCCUCUACCUGACUUUUGCAAGGCCAAUAAACCAAACAGUUGAUAAUACUUGGAAGUGGAU
rnacentral:lncRNA from 12 species